UACGAAGGGAGCUAGCGUUGUUCGGAAUUACUGGGCGUAAAGCGCACGUAGGCGGGCUGAUAAGUCAGGGGUGAAAUCCCGAGGCUCAACCUCGGAACUGCCUUUGAUACUGUUAGUCUUGAGAUCGGGAGAGGUGAGUGGAAUUCCUAGUGUAGAGGUGAAAUUCGUAGAGAUUAGGAAGAACACCAGUGGCGAAGGCGGCUCACUGGCCCGAUACUGACGAUGAGGUGCGAAAGAGUGGGGAGCAAACAGG
rnacentral:rRNA from 1 species